CUAUACUCGUAGAGGUCAGACCAGAGGUUGUAUACGCGCAAUAUUUCCCACCUGCAAACGGGUACAAUGUGUCAUAGAACCAGCUGUGGAACUUGCAAAAAGCCGACAUACUGGGGUUGUGGACGUCAUGUUGAAAUUGUGUUAAAGGAUGUACCGGUAGAUGAAAGAUGUAAAUGUCGCGAGAUGAAAGGAGCUAGAUGUUCAGUAAUGUAACCCCGGUCAAGGCCAUUUUUAUGAAGACUGGCGUAGCUUCCACUAGCCGUGGCACUGCAACCAUGGCCUUCCCACCUUGGCAGCUCGUCUAACGAUCGUACUUUCUAACAGCACUGACCUGGUUAAACUAUGGGAAACUUGUAAAGCAGUUGUUUGUUGUACUAGAAUACAUGCAUAUCGUCCUCUUCAAAAAUACAGCCAUCGAUACUUACCAAUUUAUUAAAGUGAUAGUAAAAUCAAUCAAUCAAUCAAUCAUUCAACUAACCAAUCAUUUAAAUAUCUGUUUAAAUCGUGCCUUAUGUGAUUUUUCUGUCUUGAAAACAACGAACCACGCAAUAGCUCAGGCAAUUUUUAUUUUCAAGAAAUCCGGUGGAAUGUAACAAACCUAAAAAGUUUGCGGUGCUAUGAGUUGCCGUUAUUUCAAAAGAAUACUUGGAUGAUAGAGCAAGGACGAGGACGUGGCCUAUUGGCGGCAUGUUUAAUACUUACAAUUUACUAUUCAUGAUUUUUUUAUUUUUUUUAAUGUAUCUCUGUUACUAACAUAUCCAAUCAAUGUGUGACACUACAUUCAUAAAACAGGUAUACAGUAUGACUAUAUUGAUAACGACAUGCACUAUAUGAAAAUGACGAAUACAGUAAUCGAAUAAUUAUUGCCAUGUUAUUUUGCCUCUGAAUAUAAUUUUGUAGCUGAAAACCAUUGAGUGAAUACAUAUUCUAAUAGU